rfam:Tstilago hordei, Th4857-4, WGS project CAGI01000000 data, contig: THOR_scaffold_5.00046
UCCGAAUUAGUUUAGUGGCUAUGACGGCGCCUUGUCAAACAAAUCUCCGCGUUUAAUACGGCGCAGACCCGGGUUCAAUUCCCGGAUUCGGAG